rnacentral:lncRNA from 1 species
AAUUGUGGCAGGGGACUUGUAGAAUAUAUGAUUUUCUCCUCUUCAAAAAAUUUUUUUUUAAUUUCUUACCUUAAAGGUAAAAUAUUUUUUCUUACAUGUGAGGAAGCAAAAAACCUCUAAUAAUGGCAUUGCCAUUCUGAUGUGAGCUCAUCAGAGUACCAUUCUGACAUGAGCUUAGGGCCCUGAUCAGUAUGAAAUACGCUUUAUAAAAAUUUUUUUUCCUAAAACCCCAGUUGGCCCAGGGACCACUUUACAGAGCUCCAGCCUUGGACUUUUACCUAUGAUCAGUCCUAUUCUUCUCCAGGGUUUAUACUUGUUAAGUCAAUAUUAAAACACAGAAAACACCCCCCCGCCCUGAUUUUGUUCACUUUUGUUUUCAUAUACAAGAAUCUUAACAGUGAACAUGUACUUCUAGAUGCUGUAUUGAAAUUGCUGGCAGAGUCUAUUCUAUACAAACUGAACAAUCUGGCCCCUUGUUUUAUUUGUAAAGGUUCAAUGUAUCUAUGCCUGACUACUUCAAUCUGCAAGGGAGUGUCAGAAAGGCCCCGCAUUCGCCGAGCCGUGAGUUAUCACUAACUUUUCAGAUGUGUUAAUAAAUGUGGAACAAAAAGCAGUUGUGUUUAAAAGGAAAAAAGGACCAUCAAAAUAACCUCUAUUAUAGUAGCAGGCGUGAACACUAAAUGAAUUACUCCAAAUUGUGGUGUCAAAAAUAACAUUAACUAGAGACUAGCCUCUAGAAAACCUAUUGUUGAACUGCUCUGAAGCUGUUGUUUUAGCCAAAAGUUACUGUUCUUAAAGUUUUAUAAACCAUGAUUGCAAAUUAAUAUGUUGUUUAAGUCUUUUGAACCAAGUUAAAACAAUCUGAACAAAAUCUUACCCUGCCUAAAAAUGAUAGUAUUUAAUUGACUUUGAGUUAAGCUCUUUAAAAUAAUACCAUGUUAAAGGGGUAAAGUUUUAACCUUUUUUGUUACUCACAUGUCAAAAACAAAUUAAACAAUUGAAUCUCUUCCUUGAAAGUUUUAGUACAGUGUUAUUUACAGUCUGUUUUGGUACCAACAGUUCUUGCUUCAGUAAUUCACCAGUAGGUUUUCAUUCAUCAAUGACUAUGUCAAUUUAAGGCUAAAAAUAAAACACUUUCAUUUCUUAGGGCUUAAUCAGUCUCCUUAGAGGAAACCAUCCUUAAGAAUUCCCCCCUCCCAAAGAGAUUUGAAGCAAAAAAAAAAUCUAACUAACAUCUAUUUUUUUUUGUUAUUAGAGAUAGUUAACUUUCUUUUUCUUAUAUUCUUUCAAGUUUUGAGUAGAUAGGCCUAUUUGACUAGCAGGUCGGAAGCUUCUGUUGCCUAGGAGGUGUAUUGUGUUAAGUGAAGACAGAAUAAAUUUAAAUGGACCCAGUUUGGCCAUUUAUAGCACAGACUACCUAAAACUUGGAGAUAUGGGACCUUUGGAGCCAUUAAGUUAAAUGUUUCAUUUAGGCAGUGUGCCUUUGUUUGACUGGUGUGUAAGUCCUUCUUCCAGGUUUGUACACUCUUAAACACGUCAUUCUACCCUCUCUAACUCCUCCCAGCAGCAAAAGGGAGACACUUCAGCUGGAACAAAAUAGUGGAAGAAAUGGCGUCUGGGGUUCAGUGGGGAUUCGCAGUGUGUAUGCAAUGUUUGCAAGAUUACUUUUUAUGUUUUUCAAUUAAUGUAAAUAAUUACAGAAUGAAUCAGUGCUUAGUGUCAAUGUAGGGAACAUCGUAUACCAAUAGAAAUUCUCCUAGUGGGUCUGCU